UAGGGUUUGAUCCUGGCUCAGAUUGAACGCUGGCGGUAGGCUUAACACAUGCAAGUCGUGCGAGAAAGUAUCUUCUGGUAUGAGUAGGGCGGCGGACGGGUGAGUAACGCGUAGGAAUCUACCUAGUAAUAGGGGAUAGCCCGGGGAAACACGGAUUAAUACCGUAUACCUCCUUCGGGAGAAAGAAGGCCUCUCUUUGAAGCUUUUCCUACUAGAUGAGCCGGCGUAGGAUUAGCUUGUUGGUGAGGUAAAGGCUCACCAAGGCGACAAUCUUUAGCUGGUCUGAGAGGACGAUCUGCCACAUUGGGACUGAGACACGGCCCAGACUCCUACGGGAGGCAGCAGUGGGGAAUAUUGGACAAUGGGCGCAAGCCUGAUCCAGCCAUACCGCGUGUGUGAAGAAGGCCUUCGGGUUGUAAAGCACUUUCAAGCAGGGAGAAAAAGUUAUAAGUUAAUACCUUAUAACCCUGAUGUUACCUGCAGAAAUAAGCGCCGGCUAAUUCCGUGGCCAGCCGCCCGCGGUAAUUACAAAUCACUUAGGUGAAU
rnacentral:rRNA from 1 species